AGAGUUUGAUCCUGGCUCAGGAUGAACGCUGGCGGCGUGCCUAACACAUGCAAGUCGAGCGAUCUUCUUCGGAAGAGAGCGGCGGACGGGUGAGUAACGCGUGGGUAACCUGCCCUGUACACACGGAUAACAUACCGAAAGGUAUGCUAAUACGAGAUAAUAUGUUUUUGUCGCAUGGUAGAAGUAUCAAAGCUUUUGCGGUACAGGAUGGACCCGCGUCUGAUUAGCUAGUUGGUAAGGUAACGGCUUACCAAGGCGACGAUCAGUAGCCGACCUGAGAGGGUGAUCGGCCACAUUGGAACUGAGACACGGUCCAAACUCCUACGGGAGGCAGCAGUGGGGAAUAUUGCACAAUGGGCGAAAGCCUGAUGCAGCAACGCCGCGUGAGCGAUGAAGGCCUUCGGGUCGUAAAGCUCUGUCCUCAAGGAAGAUAAUGACGGUACUUGAGGAGGAAGCCCCGGCUAACUACGUGCCAGCAGCCGCGGUAAUACGUAGGGGGCUAGCGUUAUCCGGAAUUACUGGGCGUAAAGGGUGCGUAGGUGGUUUCUUAAGUCAGAGGUGAAAGGCUACGGCUCAACCGUAGUAAGCCUUUGAAACUGGGAAACUUGAGUGCAGGAGAGGAGAGUGGAAUUCCUAGUGUAGCGGUGAAAUGCGUAGAUAUUAGGAGGAACACCAGUUGCGAAGGCGGCUCUCUGGACUGUAACUGACACUGAGGCACGAAAGCGUGGGGAGCAAACGGGAUUAGAUACCCUGGUAGUCCACGCCGUAAACGAUGAGUACUAGCUGUCGGAGGUUACCCCCUUCGGUGGCGCAGCUAACGCAUUAAGUACUCCGCCUGGGAAGUACGCUCGCAAGAGUGAAACU
rnacentral:rRNA from 1 species